ensembl:lncRNA
GUUCAUUCCCAUUCCGGGUGUUCAUUCCCAUUCCCGUUGUUUAUUCCGGGUGUUCAUUCCCAUUCCCGGUGUUUAUUCCCAUUCCCAUUGUUCAUUCCCAUUCCCGGUGUUCAUUCCCAUUCCGGGUGUUCAUUCCGGGUGUUCAUUCCGGGUGUUCAUUCCCAUUCCGGGUGUUCAUUCCGGGUGUUCAUUCCCAUUCCGGGUGUUCAUUCCCAUUCCCGGUGUUCAUUCCCGGUGUUCAUUCCCAUUCCGGGUGUUCAUUCCCAUUCCCGGUGUUCAUUCCGGGUGUUCAUUCCCAUUCCGGGUGUUCAUUCCCAUUCUUGGUGUUCAUUCCCAUUCCCGGUGUUCAUUCCGGGUGUUCAUUCCCAUUCCCGGUGUUCAUUCCCGGUGUUCAUUCCCAUUCCGGGUGUUCAUUCCCAUUCCGGGUGUUCAUUCCCAUUCCGGGUGUUCAUUCCCAUUCCCGGUGUUCAUUCCGGGUGUUCAUUCCCAUUCCGGGUGUUCAUUCCCAUUCCCGGUGUUCAUUCCCGGUGUUUAUUCCCAUUCCGGGUGUUCAUUCCCAUUCCCGGUGUUCAUUCCCGGUGUUCAUUCCCAUUCCGGGUGUUCAUUCCCAUUCCGGGUGUUCAUUCCGGGUGUUCAUUCCCAUUCCCGGUGUUUAUUCCCAUUCCGGGUGUUCAUUCCCAUUCCCUGUGUUCAUUCCGGGUGUUCAUUCCCGGUGUUCAUUCCCAUUCCCGGUGUUUAUUCCGGGUGCUCAUUCCCAUUCCGGGUGUUCAUUCCCAUUCCUGGUGUUCAUUCCCGGUGUUUAUUCCCAUUCCGGGUGUUCAUUCCCAUUCCGGGUGUUCAUUCCCAUUCCCGGUGUUCAUUCCCGGUGCUCAUUCCCAUUCCGGGUGUUCAUUCCCAUUCCGGGUGUUCAUUCCCAUUCCCGGUGUUCAUUCCGGGUGUUCAUUCCCAUUCCGGGUGUUCAUUCCGGGUGUUCAUUCCGGGUGUUCAUUCCCAUUCCCGGUGUUUAUUCCCAUUCCCAUUGUUCAUUCCCAUUCCGGGUGUUCAUUCCCGGUGUUCAUUCCCAUUCCCGGUGUUCAUUCCCGGUGUUUAUUCCCAUUCCGAGUGUUCAUUCCCGUUCCUGCUGUUCAUUCCGGGUGUUCAUUCCCAUUCCCGUUGUUUAUUCCGGGUGUUCAUUCCCAUUCCGGGUGUUCAUUCCCAUUCCCGGUGUUCAUUCCGGGUGUUCAUUCCCAUUCCGGGUGUUCAUUCCGGGUGUUCAUUCCGGGUGUUCAUUCCCAUUCCCGGUGUUUAUUCCGGGUGUUCAUUCCCGUUCCGGGUGUUCAUUCCGGGUGUUUUUCCGGCAGCUGAUCCAGUUCCUGAUCUCCCUGGUUCAAUCCAAUCGCAUCCUGGGCGUCAAGAGGAAAAUCCCCCUGAUGCUGAACGACGGCGGCGCCGCGCAUUCCGUGCCCAAGUACAGCCGGCAGUAUUCCCUGGAGCACCACGGGAACUCCGCCUACACCGUGAGGACAACACCCGGAACGGGGCGGGAGAAACAGAGGGAAAAACAGCGGGAAUGGGGCGGGAAAAACAC